rfam:Sutterella sp. CAG:397 genomic scaffold, scf152
GCAGCCGGACAGCUGAUCGCGGGCAAGAUUGUUUUGCAUGAGGAAAGUCCGGACUCCGUAGGGCACCGUAGCAGGUAACGCCUGCCCGCCGCAAGGUGAGGAUCAGAGCAACAGAGACGAGCCGGUUCAGUCCGGGUGAAACGGGCAAUCUCUACGGGGAGCAACAUCAAGUAAGCAGUCGUUUGAUUUCGGCCCGAAAGAAGACUGCGGGUAGAUGGCUUGAGGCGCCGCGUGAGCGGCGUCCUAGAUGAAUGAUCGGCAACGCGCUUCCUUCGGGAUCUGCGUCACUGAAUCCGGCUUACAGUCCGGCUGCGGCU